rnacentral:rRNA from 1 species
UGCCUACGGGUGGCUGCAGUGAGGAAUAUUGGUCAAUGGGCGAAAGCCUGAACCAGCCAUGCCGCGUGAGGGAUGAAGGCGCUAUGCGUUGUAAACCUCUUUUGUAGGGGACGAAACCCCCGGUCGUGAUCGGGGCUGACGGUACUCUACGAAUAAGCAUCGGCUAACUCCGUGCCAGCAGCCGCGGUAAUACGGAGGAUGCAAGCGUUAUCCGGAUUCAUUGGGUUUAAAGGGUGCGUAGGCGGGGUAGUAAGUCAGUGGUGAAAUCCUACAGCUUAACUGUAGAACUGCCAUUGAUACUGCUACUCUUGAGUGCAGUUGAGGUAGCUGGAAUGUGUGGUGUAGCGGUGAAAUGCUUAGAUAUCACACAGAACACCGAUUGCGAAGGCAGGUUACUAAACUGUUACUGACGCUGAGGCACGAAAGCGUGGGGAGCAAACAGGAUUAGAUACCCCGGUAGUCG